rnacentral:rRNA from 1 species
UACGGAGGUGGCAAGCGUUGCUCGGAAUGACUGGGCGUAAAGGGCGCGUAGGCGGUUCGUACAGUCAGACGUGAAAUUCCCGGGCUCAACCUGGGGGCUGCGUUUGAUACGUACGGGCUUGAGUUCGGAAGAGGGUCGUGGAAUUCCCAGUGUAGAGGUGAAAUUCGUAGAUAUUGGGAAGAACACCGGUGGCGAAGGCGGCGACCUGGUCCGAUACUGACGCUGAGGCGCGAAAGCGUGGGGAGCAAACAGG